ACCAGGAUGACCAAUAGUUAAGGUGUUGGAAUUAAGAUCCAAUGGAUAUAUACCCACGUGGGUUCAAACCCCCACUCUUGUUU
rnacentral:tRNA from 1 species